rnacentral:rRNA from 1 species
CCUACGGGAGGCAGCAGUGGGGAAUAUUGGACAAUGGGCGAAAGCCUGAUCCAGCCAUGCCGCGUGUGUGAAGAAGGCCUUCGGGUUGUAAAGCACUUUCAGUGGGGAAGAAAGCCUUGGGGCUAAUACCCUCGAGGAAGGACAUCACCCACAGAAGAAGCACCGGCUAACUCCGUGCCAGCAGCCGCGGUAAUACGGAGGGUGCGAGCGUUAAUCGGAAUUACUGGGCGUAAAGCGCGCGUAGGCGGUCUGAUAAGCCGGUUGUGAAAGCCCCGGGCUCAACCUGGGAACGGCAUCCGGAACUGUCAGGCUAGAGUGCGGGAGAGGAAGGUAGAAUUCCCGGUGUAGCGGUGAAAUGCGUAGAGAUCGGGAGGAAUACCAGUGGCGAAGGCGGCCUUCUGGACUGACACUGACGCUGAGGUGCGAAAGCGUGGGUAGCAAAUAGGAUUAGAUACCCGGGUAGUC